AUUCCAGCUCCAAUAGCGUAUAUUUAAGUUGUUGCAGUUAAAAAGCUCGUAGUUGGAUUUCGGUUGAGAGCGGCCGGUCCGCCGUUUGGUGUGCACUGGCUGGUCUCAACUUCCUGCGGAGGACGCGCUCUGGGCUUAACGGUCUGGACGUGGAGUCCGCGUGGUUACUUUGAAAAAAUUAGAGUGUUCAAAGCGGGCUUACGCUUGAAUAUUUCAGCAUGGAAUAACACUAUAGGACUCCUGUCCUAUUUCGUUGGUCUCGGGACGGGAGUAAUGAUUAAGAGGAACAGUUGGGGGCAUUCGUAUUUCAUUGUCAGAGGUGAAAUUCUUGGAUUUAUGAAAGACGAACUUCUGCGAAAGCAUUUGCCAAGGAUGUUUUCAUUA
rnacentral:rRNA from 1 species